AUUGAACGCUGGCGGCAUGCCUUACACAUGCAAGUCGAACGGUAACAGGUCUUCGGAUGCUGACGAGUGGCGAACGGGUGAGUAAUACAUCGGAACGUGCCUAGUAGUGGGGGAUAACUACUCGAAAGAGUGGCUAAUACCGCAUGAGAUCUACGGAUGAAAGCAGGGAAUCGCAAGACCUUGUGCUACUAGAGCGGCCGAUGGCAGAUUAGGUAGUUGGUGGGAUAAAAGUUUACCAAGCCGACGAUCUGUAGCUGGUCUGAGAGGACGAUCAGCCACACUGGGACUGAGACACGGCCCAGACUCCUACGGGAGGCAGCAGUGGGGAAUUUUGGACAAUGGGCGCAAGCCUGAUCCAGCAAUGCCGCGUGCAGGAUGAAGGCCUUCGGGUUGUAAACUGCUUUUGUACGGAACGAAAAGCCCUGGGUUAAUACCCUGGGGUCAUGACGGUACCGUAAGAAUAAGCACCGGCUAACUACGUGCCAGCCGCCGCGGUAACAC
rnacentral:rRNA from 1 species